rnacentral:rRNA from 1 species
GUUAUAUAGUUAAGUGACUAAGCGCAUACGGUGGAUGCCUUGGCAGUCAGAGGCGAUGAAGGACGUAGUAACCUGCGA